rnacentral:rRNA from 1 species
UACGGGGGGUGCGAGCGUUGUCCGGAAUCACUGGGCGUAAAGGGCGCGUAGGUGGUUUGAUAAGGGUGUGGUGAAAGUCCGGGGCUCAACCCCGGAUCUGCCGUGCCGACUGUCAAACUCGAGGGCUGUAGAGGCAGACGGAAUUCCGGGUGUAGCGGUGGAAUGCGUAGAGAUCCGGAGGAACACCGGUGGCGAAGGCGGGUCUCUGGGCCGAUACUGACGCUGAGGAGCGAAGGCCAGGGGAGCGAAACG